CGCACGGGUGAGUAACACGUAGGUAAUGUGCCUUUGGGUGGGGAAUAACUUAGGGAAACUUAAGCUAAUACCGCAUAAUGCGAUAACUUCUUCGGAAGAUUUUGUUAAAGAUUUAUCGCCUGAAGAGCAGCCUGCGGCAGAUUAGCUAGUUGGUUGGGUAAUGGCUGACCAAGGCUACGAUCUGUAUCCGACCUGAGAGGGUGGUCGGACACACUGACACUGAAUAACGGGUCAG
rnacentral:rRNA from 1 species